rnacentral:lncRNA from 1 species
GCCAUUAACUCGGCCGAAUACGGCCCUCUAUGGCGCGCUCUCCGGCGGAAUUUUGUUACUGAGUUGAUAAACCCUACAAGAAUCAAGCAGUGCAGUUGGAUAAGGAAAUGGGCUAUGGAAUACCAUAUGAAAAGGAUUGAAAAUGAAGUUUCUCAACAGGGGUUUGUGGAGGUGAUGGCUAAUUGUAGGCUUACUAUAUGCAGCAUUCUCAUUUGCCUUUGUUUUGGUGCUAAAAUUUCUGAAGAGAGAAUCAAGAAAAUUGAGAACAUACUUAAAGAUGUUAUGCUCAUCACAGCUCCACAGCUUCCGGACUUCUUGCCCGUCCUCACACCAUUGUUUCGCCGUCAAGUGAAACAGGCAAAGAAGCUGAGACAGACACAACUGGAAUACCUAGUGCCUUUGGUAAGCUUAAACUGUUAGAGAGCGUAUACUUAUAAUUAGUUAAUUAUAUUAUAUAUGUCUCAACACGCCCCUCACGUGUGUAGCCCUGCAUGCAUGAUUCUUUUUCUUAGCCAAACACAGAGAAAUAAUUUUGAGAGAUUUGAACCAAAGACCUUUUGCGCGCUCUAAUAUAUACUAUGUCGAAAAUGUAUGACCCUGUUAUCUAAAAGUUUAAAUGGUAAGAAGUAUCACACUUUUGGUUGAUUACUGAAUUAUAUAUAUUAUGUCUUCCAUCACAGGUAAGAGACAGAAAGGCAUUUGUGGAGAGCAAUGGGAACCCGAAAAGUAGCAGUUCAGAAAUGGUGAGUCCAAUUGGUGCAGCCUAUGUUGAUUCAUUAUUUAGUCUUGAACUUCCUGGCAGGAAAUUAGGAGAAGCAGAAAUUAUCACACUUGUUUCAGAAACAAUAGGUGCAGGAACUGAUACUAGUGCCACUGCACUAGAAUGGGCUUUGCUUCACUUAGUGAUGGACCAAGAAAUCCAAGAGAAACUCUACAAAGAAAUAGUUGAUUGUAUUGGAAAACAUGGUGACAUUUCAGAAAGUGAUGUUGAGAAAAUGCCUUAUCUUGGAGCCAUUGUGAAGGAGACUUUUAGAAGACACCCACCUAGCCAUUUUGUCUUGUCACAUUCUGAGAACUGUACAAAGAAAUAGUUGAUUGUGUUGGAAAACAUGGUGACAUUUCAGAAAGUGAUGUUGAGAAAAUGCCUUAUCUUGGAGCCAUUGUGAAGGAGACUUUUAGAAGACAUCCACCUAGUCAUUUUGUCUUGUCACAUUCUGUAACAAAUCAUACUCAAUUAGGAGGUUACAAUAUCCCUUCUGAUGCUUAUGUUGAAUUUUACACUGCAUGGGUAACGGAGGACCCUAGUUUAUGGAAAGAUCCCGGCGAGUUUCGGCCAGAGAGGUUUUUGACUGGGGAUGGAGUUGACGUGGACAUCACCGGAAUGAGGGGUGUGAAGAUGCUGCCAUUCGGAGCGGGUCGUCGGAUCUGCCCCGAUUGGUCAUUGGGUACGUUGCAUAUUAACUUGAUGCUUGCUAAGAUGGUUCACAAAUUCAAGUGGAUACCAAUACCCGACAACCCACCCGACCCGACAGAGACAUUUGCUUUUACUGUGGUGAUGAAAAAUCCCCUCAAAGCCAUUAUUUUGCCAAGGUCAAAAAUUUGAACAAUUAGCUAGAUGUUGUUUGGGUUCCAAAAGUGUUCAUGUGGUGUACCAUAUAUUAGAUCUUAGCUAGGUUGCCUCUUUUUUGUGUUACAUGGAUAAAUGCUUCCUAUAAUUUUGCUUUUGUUGAAUGUGAGUGCUAGAAUUAAUGGUUAUGGGACCUAUUUUCUCCUGAAUAUUUUCUAUGUUCACUUGGUGCCACAAAAUAUAGUGCUGAAGAAUAUUAUUGCUUUAUAUAUAUCAAGAAAACUUCUUAUGCUCUUUAACAAUUGGUUCAACUUUUAUAGUACUACCAAUUACGCUUUAAACAUGCCAAGAGUGGCGAAAACUCACAUCUCUUUUUUUUCCUUCUAAUAAAAGAUUUAACUUCUAACACUUACAUACCACUACUAUAUAAAAUUAGUCACAACAAUAGGCAAACGAACAUCACGUCAAAUAUGAUAUUAUAACAUAAAAAUGCUAAAUAUUCUACUGCAACAAAUUAAAAUACUCUAAUACAAGGAUUUAAUUAAUAAUAUUGCUAGUGUAAAACUUUGGUAUUACCAAGCAUUUUAUGAGUAACUAUCAACUUACUUUCCGCAAUAAAUGACAGAAAAAAGGAGGGAAAAAAAAAAGAUAACUCAAUGACCAAGAAUGAGUGACCGUGGUCUAAUUGGGAGACCCCUCGUCAAAGGUAAUGACUAAUAUAGGCGUUUAAGAAUAAGGCAGGUAGACCCAUACUCAGGCAAGAAAGAAAGUCUCUUACAAAAAAGGCAGAAAGAAGAGGCCCUCGCUCUACAGGAAACCUAAUAGAAUGUAUUACUUCUUAAGGUAAUUCAGGGAAGGCACCUGUUUAGUUGGAAACAAUGACAUUAAAAUUUCGGGUGAAGAUGAUUCUUGAGCAAGUUCUGCUAGCAUUUCUUCAUAGCACUCAUCUAUUUCGGGUUGAGAUUCAGCUAGCCCAAAGUUUCUUCUUUCAGANNN